rnacentral:rRNA from 1 species
GGCCGAUAUCGGAUUAGCUAGUUGGUGGGGUAACGGCUCACCAAGGCGACGAUCCGUANCUGGUUUGAGAGGACGACCAGCCACACUGGGACUGAGACACGGCCCAGACUCCUACGGGAGGCAGCAGUGGGGAAUUUUGGACAAUGGGGGCAACCCUGAUCCAGCCMMUCCCGCGUGUGCGAUGAAGGCCUUCGGGUUGUAAAGCACUUUUGGCAGGAAAGAAACGGCGCUGGUUAAUACCUGGCGCAACUGACGGUACCUGCAGAAUAAGCACCGGCUAACUACGUGCCAGCAGCCGCGGUAAUACGUAGGGUGCAAGCGUUAAUCGGAAUUACUGGGCGUAAAGCGUGCGCAGGCGGUUCGGAAAGAAAGAUGUGAAAUCCCAGGGCUUAACCUUGGAACUGCAUUUUUAACUACCGGGCUAGAGUGU